ACAAAAUCAAUUGAAGAAUAACAAACAAUAAUUAAUGCUUAAUCUUAACAAAACAAUAAAAUCAUUUAAAAAUCGUCUCGCAUCAUCAAAACGCUUCCGAAACCGAGCAUACACUCCAACUGUCCCAAAAUGCUUUGUUCACCGUUGUUGCUGCUGUUUGCAAAAUUAGCUUAAAAAUCGAUCAACCGUAAUGUUACCUCCAAAGCGCUCGUCACCGUUCCCUUUCCAAAGCUUACCCCACCCCGACUUACGCGCCCCCUAACACCACUAUCUUGAAAUUGCAUUCCACAACCCUACGACCUACGCCCGUGCGCUCGCCAAUCGCCAAACAAGGCGUACGGCGGGCACUCUGCGGUAUCCUCUAUCGGUAAAGUAGUUUCGGUUUGUUUCAGUGCUCACGUAUGUGUGGUAGUGUUUGUCGAACGACAGCAACAGCAGCAACUACACCCCGUCCCCCGUCCUCCGCCCGUCCUCUGCUGUGUGUGUGUGUCUGUGUGCACGCGCCUAAGAAGCAUCCGAAGAAGCCAUUCAUUUCGCCCGUUUUACCAUGCCCAUCAAGAUGCAUCAAGUUGAGACACGGUUUGAGAGCGAGAGAGCAAACUACAACGAUUGAGAGAGAGAGAGAGAGAGCGCGCGAAACGUAAAAAUCAGUCAAAGAAGAAGAUGAAGAAGAAACCGAAACAAACGAACUUAAAAAUUGCGACUUCGAAUGGUCGCCGUCGCGAUGCAACGGUGCAAUCAAACCAACGGGGCUGGAAACGGGCGGGGAGAGAAAGGAAGGGCAAACAUCGUUCAUCGCACCGUUUCACCCCGAAAGUGCGAAGGCAAGAUUUUACACUUCUUUUUUUUUACAUAAAAUCAACACACCACACCAAGAAAACGGCGUGGUUUUUCUUAGCGCGGUGGCGGUGGCCGAAGUAGGCCGGUGACGUCAGGCUCGUUACUAUGUACAGUUUAAAAAUAUGUAAUGCAAUAAGCCCGCCGCUGGGCAAAUACACUUUCAAAUCGGAUCGGAAUAAAAAGGCACAAAUGUGGUUGACGGUAUACGUGUGUGUGUGUGUGUGUCUUUGAAAUAGAAGGGUACAUGGAAUGGAAAGCAACAAAGAUGACCAACAAAUCUAAUACAGCCGACCGCAUCGCAGCCAUAAAGCAUCGCAUCAAACCCCCCUGUAAUCAGUGCAGCUUCUUCCCGUUUUUUGAACCCUUCACCCAUUACGCCUCUUACGAAUAGAGCGAAUAGAGAGGAAAAGCGGUUGCGCCGCAUCCCGUGACUAUAUUGCUUUGAAUUGCGUUUGAAAAACAAGGAACAAAACAACAGAGAAAAAAAGGUAAGCAAAAGAGACAAAACAAGACACCACAAAAAGGGCACAAAUUUCUCGAACAAACGGUAUUGGAAGUCACGGAAAGUUUCGUUGCGUUCCCCGUGGAGGGAGAGGGAGCGGGAGGGAGGGAAAAUUAUAUGCAGCCAGAGUGAGAGCGAUUAAAAUAAAAUCGACAAGAUAAAAACAACUGCACGUGUUGCGGGCGAAGAAGCGAGAGCGCACGUGCUGUGGGAAGGAAAGAGCAACGACAAGAGUGAGUAAAGUAUGAUACCAAACAAUACAGCAGGAAGAGAAAGAAAAGAAAAAAAAAACAACACAACCCAAGCGACACAACAGAGAGGCGCGAACAUUGCUCGCGAUCUUCGCUAAUCUCUGGCUUUUAGGGCUGAGGGUUUCGUGCGCGCGCGAGAGAGAGAGCACGCGUCGUUGUGGGUGCGGUGAACACGUGCGCGCGAGAGAGAGCGAAUUUACGCUCGUGAGUUAUUGUUGUGGAUGAGGUAACGGGGGGGUGAGAGGGAGGGAAACAAAACCCGGAGAGUAAACAAACAACCUUGCCCUGCGUUGCAACCACUCCACCCCGGUGGCGAUGUGCAACCCUGUUUAUAUGUGCCUCUCUCUCUCUCUCUCUCUCUUACUCACUCAUCUGCCAUUCCGCCGGUUGCUCACCUUGCCGAUAUAGGGGGUGAAGAAAACGGAGUACACCGGAGUGGGAAGAAAAGAGAGCGAAAAAGCAUCUGUAGUAGGCACCGCCGCCGCCGUCGCCGUCGUCAUCAUUGACGACGUAUCGGUAGCGCUAGAGGAGUGUUGGAGGAAGAAGAGAAAAGGGUGAAGCGUCAUCGCAAACGUCAUGUGUGGCGGUGACGGCGGCUGUGUUUGUUUGGCUAUCGUGUGUGUGUUUUUUGCUGCUGGUGGCACACAUAAAACGAGAGCCAAAUCCAAUGAGCGGAAGAAGAGAGAAGGAAAUAAAGGUGUGAAAGAGAUAGGGUGAGACGGUGGGCGCGCGUCGCGUGAGUGCAUAUAAUCUAUCAACAAAAUAAUAGAGUGUAGAGCAAGAAGAGCAAGAAGAAACAAUCAACACAGCGUAGCAAGAAAGCGCGCGCGGUGUGGUUUACAAUAAUCUGGGUGUAAGUGUGUUGGUGUUUGUGCACCGUGUAUGCUCAUUUGGGAAAGGUUAGUCAAGUGAGUGCGCCGUCCAUCGCGGUGUGAGAGACAGAGAGAGAGACAGAGAGAGUGCGAUAUCGGCCCAAAACGGCAACAAAACAAAACGUGUGCGGUUAUGCGUUCCCUACUAGCAAUGAGAAUGUAAAAGUGUGCGUCUUUCAGGCGAGGGGCAUGUAGAAGCCGGGGGAGACGGUUGGAAAUACGCGGAAUUACGCGGCGGCGAGAGCGUGUUUUGCUUUCUACACAGUUUUCGCACUCACACAAUCACACAUGUGUGAAUGUGUGCGUUCACUUUCAGCCAGCGCGCUCAGUUUGGUUUUCUCGCAGCGGCUUGCUGGUGUCGGUGUCUCGCUCGCACUAGUGCAGCGAGUGUUCCUCGUGCGUUCCCUUUCUUGCUACCACACAAAAUCGUCAGUACAGUUCAAGCCUUCGCAGUGUGAGGCCGCGCGCGUUUUAGCCUAAGUCCCGGGCGCUCGAUUAUUCAACAAACACAACAUACAGGCAGUAAGGCGGGUGCUUGAAGUGACGAUUUUUUUUAAAUAUUUAUAAUAAAAAAUAUGUGUGGUUUUGUGGCAAGAUUGUGGUUAGCGAUGUGUGGAACUGUGCCUUAAGUUUCAAUAAAGUGUUAAAAUAUCAAACGAGUUUGAUGUAAUUAAAUUUA